CUUCAAAAAGUUGAUGGUCAGGCGGGAUUACCCGCUGAAUUUAAGCAUAUCAAUAAGC
rnacentral:rRNA from 1 species